GGGAAUUUUCCGCAAUGGGCGAAAGCCUGACGGAGCAACGCCGCGUGAGGGAUGAAGGCCUCUGGGCUGUAAACCUCUUUUCUCAAGGAAGAAGAACUGACGGUACUUGAGGAAUAAGCCACGGCUAAUUCCGUGCCAGCAGCCGCGGUAAUACGGGAGUGGCAAGCGUUAUCCGGAAUUAUUGGGCGUAAAGCGUCCGCAGGCGGUCUUGAAAGUCUGUUGUUAAAGCGUGGAGCUUAACUCCAUUUCAGCAAUGGAAACUUCAAGACUAGAGUGUGGUAGGGGCAGAGGGAAUUCCCGGUGUAGCGGUGAAAUGCGUAGAUAUCGGGAAGAACACCAGUGGCGAAGGCGCUCUGCUGGGCCAUAACUGACGCUCAUGGACGAAAGCCAGGGGAGCGAAAGGGAUUAGAUACCCCUGUAGUCA
rnacentral:rRNA from 1 species